ACCCCUGUGACAUACCAAUUGUUGCCUCGGCGGAUCAGCCCGCUCCCGGUAAAACGGGACGGCCCGCCAGAGGACCCACAAACUCUGUUUCUAUAUGUAACUUCUGAGUAAAACCAUAAAUAAAUCAAAACUUUCAACAACGGAUCUCUUGGUUCUGGCAUCGAUGAAGAACGCAGCAAAAUGCGAUAAGUAAUGUGAAUUGCAGAAUUCAGUGAAUCAUCGAAUCUUUGAACGCACAUUGCGCCCGCCAGUAUUCUGGCGGGCAUGCCUGUUCGAGCGUCAUUUCAACCCUCAAGCCCAGCUUGGUGUUGGGACUCGCGAGUCAAAUCGCGUUCCCCAAAUUGAUUGGCGGUCACGUCGAGCUUCCAUAGCGUAGUAGUAAAACCCUCGUUACUGGUAAUCGUCGCGGCCACGCCGUUAAACCCCAACUUCUGAAUGUUGACCUCGGAUCAGGUAGGAAUACCCGCUGAACUUAAGCAUAUCAA
rnacentral:rRNA from 1 species